CGAUUGUAGUCAUAUGCUUGUCUCAAAGAUUAAGCCAUGCAUGUCUAAGUAUAAGCAAUUACACCGCGAAACUGCGAAUGGCUCAUUAAAUCAGUUAUCGUUUAUUUGAUAGUACCUUACUACAUGGAUAACCGUGGUAAUUCUAGAGCUAAUACAUGCUAAAAAUCCCGACUUCGGAAGGGAUGUAUUUAUUAGAUUAAAAACCAAUGCCCUUCGGGGCUCUCUGGUGAUUCAUAAUAACUUCUCGAAUCGCACGGCCUUGCGCCGGCGAUGGUUCAUUCAAAUUUCUGCCCUAUCAACUUUCGACGGCUGGGUCUUGGCCAGCCAUGGUGACAACGGGUAACGGAGGGUUAGGGCUCGACCCCGGAGAAGGAGCCUGAGAAACGGCUACUACAUCCAAGGAAGGCAGCAGGCGCGCAAAUUACCCAAUCCCGACUCGGGGAGGUAGUGACAAUAAAUACUGAUACAGGGCUCUUUUGGGUCUUGUAAUUGGAAUGAGUACAAUUUAAAUCCCUUAACGAGGAACAAUUGGAGGGCAAGUCUGGUA
rnacentral:rRNA from 1 species